UACGUAGGGGGCAAGCGUUGUCCGGAUUUAUUGGGCGUAAAGAGCGUGUAGGCGGCCGUACAGGUCAGCUGUGAAAACUCGAGGCUCAACCUCGAGACGUCGGUUGAAACCGUACGGCUAGAGUCCGGAAGAGGAGAGUGGAAUUCCCGGUGUAGCGGUGAAAUGCGCAGAUAUCAGGAGGAACACCGAUGGCGAAGGCAGGUCUCUGGGCCGAUACUGACGCUGAGGAGCGAAAGCGUGGGGAGCGAACAGG
rnacentral:rRNA from 1 species